AUUGAACGCUGGCGGAAUGCUUUACACAUGCAAGUCGAACGGCAGCACGGGGCAACCUGGUGGCGAGUGGCGAACGGGUGAGUAAUACAUCGGAACGUGCCCAAUCGUGGGGGAUAACGUAGCGAAAGUUACGCUAAUACCGCAUACGAUCUACGGAUGAAAGCGGGGGAUCGCAAGACCUCGCGCGAAUGGAGCGGCCGAUGUCAGAUUAGGUAGUUGGUGGGGUAAAGGCUCACCAAGCCGACGAUCUGUAGCUGGUCUGAGAGGACGACCAGCCACACUGGGACUGAGACACGGCCCAGACUCCUACGGGAGGCGGCAGUGGGGAAUUUUGGACAAU
rnacentral:rRNA from 1 species